GGUUGGUCCUCCAAGUGCAGUGGUGUUUACAACUAAUUGAUCACAAUCGGUUAUAGAUUCCUUUGUUUCUUCUCCACUCUCACUGCUUCACUCGACCAGCCUUAA
rnacentral:Y_RNA from 1 species